rnacentral:rRNA from 1 species
AAUCUUCCACAAUGGACGAAAGUCUGAUGGAGCAACGCCGCGUGAGCGAAGAAGGUUUUCGGAUCGUAAAGCUCUGUUGCGAGGGAAGAACAAGCACGGGAGUAACUGCCUGUACCUUGACGGUACCGCGUCAGAAAGCCACGGCUAACUACGUGCCAGCAGCCGCGGUAAUACGUAGGGAGCAAGCGUUGUCCGGAAUUAUUGGGCGUAAAGCGCGCACAGGCGGUCCUUUAAGUCUGAUGAGAAAGCCCGCGGCUCAACCGUGGAGGGUCAUUGGAAACUGGAGGACUUGAGUACAGAAGAGGAAAGCGGAAUUCCACGUGUAGCGGUGAAAUGCAUAGAGAUGUGGAAGAACACCAGUGGCGAAGGCGGCUUUCUGGUCUGUAACUGACGCUGAGGCGCGAAAGCGUGGGGAACAAACA